rnacentral:rRNA from 1 species
AUUGAACGCUGGCGGCAGGCCUAACACAUGCAAGUCGAGCGGAUGAAGGGAGCUUGCUCCUGGAUUCAGCGGCGGACGGGUGAGUAAUGCUUAGGAAUCUGCCGGGUGGUGGGGAAUAACGUCCGGAAAGGGGCCCUAAUACGGCAUACUUCCUGAGGAAGAAGGGGGGGGAUCUUCGAACCUCCCGCUAUCGGAUAAGCCUAGUUGGUAUUAUUUAGUUGGUGGGUUAAAGGCCUACCAAGCCGACGAUCCGUAACUGGUCUGAGAGGAUGAUCAGUCACACUGGAACUAAGACACGGUCCAGACUACUACGGGAGGCAGCAGUGGGGAAUAUUGGACAAUGGGCGAAAGCCUGAUCCAGCCAUGCCGCGUGUGUGAAGAAGGUCUUCGGAUUGUAAAGCACUUUAAGUUGGGAGGAAGGGCAGUAAGUUAAUACCUUGCUGUUUUGACGUUACCAACAGAAUAAGCACCGGCUAACUUCGUG